UUAGAUUCACGCACAAACU
rnacentral:ncRNA from 2 species